GGACCCGCACAAGUAGUGGAGCAUGUGGUUUAAUUCGAAGAUACGCGCAGAACCUUACCAACACUUGACAUGUUCGUCGCGACUUUAAGAGAUUAAAGUUUUCGGUUCGGCCGGACGAAACACAGGUGCUGCAUGGCUGUCGUCAGCUCGUGUCGUGAGAUGUUGGGUUAAGUCCCGCAACGAGCGCAACCCUCACUUUUAGUUGCCAUCAUUAAGUUGGGCACUCUGAAAGAACUGCCAGUGAUAAGCUGGAGGAAGGUGGGGAUGACGUCAAGUCCUCAUGGCCCUUACGUGUUGGGCUACACACGUGCUACAAUGGUAUCUACAACAGGAAGCAAGACGGCGACGUUAAGCAAAUCCUUAAAAGAUACCUCAGUUCGGAUUGCACUCUGCAACUCGAGUGCAUGAAGCUGGAAUUACUAG
rnacentral:rRNA from 1 species